rnacentral:rRNA from 1 species
AUUGAACGCUGGCGGCAGGCCUAACACAUGCAAGUCGAACGAGUGGAAGACGGGUGAGUAAUGUCUGGGAAACUGCCUGAUGGAGGGGGAUAACUACUGGAACCAGUAGCUAAUACCGCAUACCAUCCGAUUUGCCCAGAUGGGAUUCGCUAGUAGGUGGGGUAAAGGCUCACCAAGGCUACGAUCCCUAGCUGGUCUGAGAGGAUGACCAGCCACACUGGAACUGCGACACGGUCCAGACUCCGACGGGAGGCAGCAGUGGGGAAUAUGGCACAAUGGGCGCAAGCCUGAUGCAGCCAUGCCGCGUGUAUGAAGAAGGCCUUCGGGUUGUAAAGUACUUUCAGCGGGGAGGCGUUACCCGCAGAAGAAGCACCGGCUAACUCCGUGCCAGCAGCCGCGGUAAUUC